GGGCUUGUAGCUCAGCUGGUUAGAGCGUUCGUCUGAUAAGCGAAAGGUCGAUGGUUCAAGUCCAUUCAGGCCCACCA
rnacentral:tRNA from 1 species